rnacentral:lncRNA from 1 species
GUCUACAUGAACAUAGCCAAAACAUAAUGACAUUAUCGAUAAUAAUAUACAUGCACUAUACCAGUCAUGUAUUUAGCAAUUUACAUUGCAUACACAUAUUCACAUUAUUAGAUUGUAUUCACACUACAAAAGGACCCAUGACUUCCAGCGGAGACAUUUACAAUAAAAAAGAUUACUAUCGAAUGCCAGACACAUACCCAGGAGAUGCAUUACGGGGACUCCUCGAUCUAGGGUCCAACAGUCACCUGAUCUUAAAACAUGAAUUUUUUUUAAUAAAACGUGAGUACAAUACUCAGUGAGUGAACAAGAUGGGAACAAACAUACCAUAAGGAAUGUUUAUCGAAAUCAUGAUGCAUUCAUUUUCUCAAAACCAUGCAAUUGUUUUAGCUCCUUUAAACCUCUCAUGUAAACCCCACAUGAGUAAAUCACUUUACAAAAAUCCAUGCUCAACUAUGGUACCAAAGAAAUGGGAUAUAUGGCAAAAACCCACAAGUUAGCAAAAUGGACAGAAAGUUUCUCGCUGUAGCGAACUUCAUUCUCGCUGCAGCGAGAACN